GACGAACGCUGGCGGCGCGCUUAACACAUGCAAGUCGAACGGUAAGGCCCUUCGGGGUACACGAGUGGCGAACGGGUGAGUAACACGUGGGUGAUCUGCCCUGCACUUCGGGAUAAGCCUGGGAAACUGGGUCUAAUACCGGAUAGGACCACUGCCUGCAUGGGUGGUGGUGGAAAGCUUUUGCGGUGUGGGAUGGGCCCGCGGCCUAUCAGCGUGUUGGUGGGGUGAUGGCCUACCAAGGCGACGACGGGUAGCCGGCCUGAGAGGGUGACCGUCCACGCUGGGAGUGAGAUACGGCCCAGACUCCUACGGGAGGCAGCAGUAGGGAAUAUUGCACAAUGGGAGCAAGCCUGUGGCGGCGACGCCGCGUGAGGGAUGACAGCCUUCGGGUUGUAAACCUCUUUCAGCACCGACGAAGCGCAAGUGACGGUAGGUGCAGAAGAAGGACCGGCCAACUACGUGCCAGCCGCCGCCGUAA
rnacentral:rRNA from 1 species